rnacentral:lncRNA from 1 species
AUGUAUUAUUAUUUCGUUGUAAAUCUGAAAAAUAGAAUUUCAGGUCUGAUUCUGCUGUUUGAUGUUACCCUUCACUGGCAUGUUGCUUUAAGAGCACCCAUCCCCCCUUCUUGGUUGGGCCACUGUGUCCUGUCAGUCAUCCUGAAAUACACUAGGGUGCUUGUCAGGCUGUUUGCUUACAGAUGCAUCAUAAGCCAAAUUGUGAGCCAUGAUAGUGGCACUGAAUUUCUAAAUACAAGAAAUUGCUUAGACAAUUGGUUUAGUAUCUGUAUAUGGGCAAUACUCUGUCCUGCAGUAGGUGGAAUAACAUGACUUUUCAUCUUAACUCUUUGGCAAUUAUAUAUCUCGGUAUAUUGAGGAAACAAUGAAAGAAGCAAAUCUGGCCACUUGGUGAUAUGGAGUGCUAGAAAGUCUGGACAGGCCUAUCUUUAACGUUUGUAGUGGGAAGUGUGAGGGUACAGACAGAGGCCUGCACACCGUAUGCCUACAUGUGUAAGUUACAAUUCUAUGUAAUAGGCUGCUAAAGUAGGCUCUACCCACCAAUCUUUCUACUUUGAGAAAUAUACCUUCGAAAUGACCCAGAAGGCAAGAUUGGUUUUAGAAUUCUUGGGUUCCUUUUAGAAGGAGGUGAUGGAGACAGAGCUCACUUCUGUGUCCCUGACACAUGGCCUGUUUUCUUCUCUUCCCACUUCUGACUGUCUUGCACUUGAGGGGCCUUGAGUGCCUGCAAGUAGACAGCUCAGCCUAUACACGCAAACUCAAUCUGCACUCAUUGGCAAACAGCUGCCUUUUGGCUACCUUUCAGGUAUAGGGUUGGGCACAUUGAAUGAUUCAGUCUUGGAAGGAUGAAUUCCACAAAGAGGCCAGCAUAGGCAAUGGAAGUGGAUUUGCACUGGUUGAGUAGGGAGUUGAGACACUGGCUACCCUGGGUACGAUAGGAUAGAAUAGAUGUGGGCUCUGGGUGGGUAUAUCAUCUUGGCCCCAUGGUCACUUCCAAAGCAUGAGGAUAGGGGGUGGGGCAGCUUUUGCCCAGAUUUAUAGAGAAAGUGAUCAUUUAUUUGGGUGAUAAUCCCAAAUAAGUUGUUAGAAAUGCUUCCUAGACUUCCAGAGAAGUAAAUGUCAACAAUUUUAUAUUAACACUAAAUAUGAUUCCAAGGGACUAUAUAUGACAUAAAAGGAAUGUGAUAAACAUGAAGAAAGAAGAUGCAUAGUUGGUAGGGCCUGGCUUUACUACUUUUUCUUUCACUGGAAACUAAGAUUGUGGCUGAUGUGUUUAAGUGCUCCAUAAAUAGUUGUUGAACAACAACAUAAACAACCCCAAACUCCAAUGUAUCUAUGUAGGGGUACAAAUUUGAAAGAAUAUGGAUCAAAGAUGAGAAGAGGGACAUAUGUAGUUUGGAUAUUUGUCCCCACCCAAAUUUCAUGUUGAAUUGUGAUUCCCAGUGUUGGAGAUGGGGUCUGGUGUGGAGUGAUUGGACCUUGGGGGCGGAUUUCUCAUGAUGGCUUAGCACCAGCCUCUUGGUGUUGUCCUCAUGAUAGUGAGUGAGUUCUUGAGAGAUCUGGAUGUUUAAAAGUGUGUGGCACCUCCCUCUCUUUCUCUCUUGCUCCUGUUCUCACCAUGUGAGAUGCCUGCUCCCCACUUUGCCUUCUGCCGUGAGUAAAAGCUCCCUGAGCCCUCCCUAGAAGCUGAGCAGAUGUCAGCAUCAUGCUUUCUGUAUAGCCUGCAGAACCAUGAGCCAAUUAAAUAUCUUUUCUUUAUAAAUUACCCAAUCUCAGGUAUUUCUUAUAGCAAUGCAAGAAUAGCUUAAUACGGGGACACCUGACUGAAGGCAAAUAAAAGAGAAUGGCAGAAACUAGGAAAAAUAAUGUUGGGAAGGCUAAAGCACUUCUCAUUUGCCAGGGCUGGCAGGACAUGCUGAAGGUAAGGAAGAAAAACAAAAACAGGAAGGAAUAGAUCCUCUACAUGAGUCACAUGAUAAGAGAUUAAUAGAUGACAUAUGAUACAUCUAAACUAUGAUGUCAAAUUGGCAAGAGUGGAACAAAGAUUAAUAUAAGGGAAUUGAAUUAAGUAGAAAACAAAGAUGUUAUAAUUUGUAUUAAAUAUAUAAAUCCAUAUGUUUUGGUAUUAUGUAUGAUAUCUCUGGAACUAUAAGAGUAAGUGCCCAAAGUAGUUGCCUCUGGGAGGGAAAUUAGGUGGUAGGAAGACAAGGAUGAGAGAGAGAGAUUUGGUUUCACUAUAUACAUUAUUAAACCUUGUAUUACCUAAUAAAAUUUUAAAUUAAUUAAACAAUAAUUGAAAUCUAGAUGAUGAAAGUAAAGAAGAUAACCUAAUCUCUAAAUUUGUUGAAGUACAUACAUCCAAAAGAAGUAUAUCCCUGAAUCCUAAAAUGAUCUUUAGAUGUGGUAACAGAAACUUUCUUGGGAGUCCUUGAGAAAUGGCAGACCUGCCAGAAAGCAGAGUGCUCCGGACUGAAUGUUUGUAUCUUCCCCACCCCCAACUGCAAAUCCAUGUGUUGAAAUCCUAACCCCCAGGGUGAUGAUAUUAGAAUGGUAGAGCCUUUGGGAGCUAAUUAGGCCAUGAGUGUAUAGUCCUCAUCAAUGGGAUUAGUGUCCUUAUGAGAAGAGACAUGAUGUGUUCUGCUGUCUGCCAUGUGAAGAUACAGAGAGAAGGCAGCCAUCUGCAGACCAGAAAGUAGGCCCUCACCAGACACCAGAUGUGCCAGUACCUUGAACUAGGACUUUCCAGCCUCCGAAACUGUGAGAAGUAAAUGUUUGUCGUUUAAGCCACCCAGUCUAUGAUCUAUUUGUUAUAGCACCAUGAACUGACUAAUACAUAGAGAAGAGCAAAUAUGCUUAUUUUCAACAUAGGUAAAAAAGUGAUCUCUUUAAUUAAACUGGACAUCUAGGUGCCAAUCUGUAGGAAAACUAAAAACCUAAUUUGUAAAUAAAGGGCAGUAAUUACUAGCAGUCAGCAUGAAUUCUUCAUGAACAAGUCAUGCCAAACUAUAAAUAUAUAUUUUUUGAGCUCUUAAACAGGAAGGUGUAGAAAGGGUGUUUCUAUUUCAUUAAAACAUUUGGAAAAGCCUCUUCAUGAUAUAUCUAUAUUUUUGACAAAAUGAAAAAGGUAGAAUAUUUCACACAACAGCAUUUAAUAAUAUUGAAAAUCAUGUCUAAAGUGUUUAUUAAUUGAUCAUUACAUAUCUGGAAAGAGAUUUGUAACAGUAUCAAAAUUAGGUUUUAUGUCUGGCUUUCACCUGUUUAAUGAUUUAAUAGGGAAUUCUGGAAUUCCUACUGGACAAAUUAAUGGAUAAACAGGGAAAUGGGAGGGCGUGUUAAUGUGUUGGGUUCUUCCAAACCAAUUUUUGACUAGCAGGAAUAAAAGUCCAUAUUCUACAGGAUAAGGUGUUAGGAGGACAAAAUAAAAUUCUGCAUUGAGGAGUAAAUACAAAUUAUUUGUUUAAAGAUGUCAUAAGAGACUUGAGUUUGCAGUAAUCUUUGAAAAAAAAAAAGACUUAAAACAGUUUAGUUGAAAAGUGAGUAUAAAGUUAGACUAAUUAGGUAAGUAUGAUGACUGUGUCAUGGAAUUUAAUAAGCUUAAAGGAGAAUCAGCCAUCACCUUACAAACUAAUUGUGUUACAAAAGUUAAUCUUUUUUUUUUUUUAAAUUAAAUAUUUGGUAUUAGGGAAUUUUCUAUAGGAACCACAUUAUAGAUGGUUAGGUUUCCAAGUCAUCCCACAAGAACAUAUAAACUUAUGUAAAAGAAUUAUAGUUUUAUUAAG